rnacentral:rRNA from 1 species
UAGAGCUUCCCAUGGCGCCUGUUUAUCAAAAACAUGGUUUUUUGGGAUUAUAAAAAAUUUGGUCUGCUCACUGCUAUGAGUAAAUAGCCGCAGUAUUUUGACUGUGCUAAGGUAGCAUAAUCAUUUGCCUUUUAAUUGGAGGCUGGUAUGAAUGAUUUGACGUGAUAAAAUCUGUCUCCAAGGAGAAAAUUGAAGUUAAUUAGUAGGUAAAAAGGCCGGUAUAAGUCUGAGGGACGAUAAGACCCUAAUAAGCUUAAUUUUAGAAUUUUGCUGGGGCGGUAAUUUAAGAUUAGGAUCUUAAUUUUGAAGAGUAUGGAAUGGGGACCCAAUAUUAUUGAGUUUUAGAUGAAGCUACUAUAGGGAUAACAGCUUAAUUUUUUUAAUGAGUUCUUAUUUUAAAAAAAGUUUGUGACCUCGAUGUUGAAUUAAAGGUUCUAUUUGGUGAAGUUGCUAAAUGAGAAAGUCUGUUCGACUUUUAAAUCUUUACGUGAUCUGAGUUCAGACCGGCCAUGGGAGCUCUA